GCAACAGUGAUUCAGUGGUAGAAUUCUCACCUUCCAUUUGAGAUACAUGGGUUCGAUUCCUGGCCAGUGCA
rnacentral:tRNA from 1 species